ACUAAUAAUAAUUUUUUAUACGAUUCGUUUCACCGUCUGCGGCGGGACGCGAAACAGCGAUUUUUUUUACUGUAUUUCCUUCCACCCUCUCGUCGUCUCCUAUAUCAAUAUAAAUAUAAGAACGCGCGUGUUAAACGGUUUUAAUGCGUGCAGUUUUAUACGAAUUGUAUGGAACGUUGUUAAGUCGAUUAAACAUGAUAAUAUAUUUGCGUUUGUUUUAGUUGGCCCGAAGAGUUGUUAUAAUUUUUUUUUUUUUUUAUACGAUUAUAAAACGCUCGAUAAAAAAAAAUAAUUAUUAUCUAACAAAAAUCGACUAACGCUUGUGUUUUUAGAAAUUAUUCGAGGAAUACAAUAAAGUAUUACAUUUUUUGUUUCGCAUUUUAAAAAAUAAACGAAACGGCGCUC